AAGUCGUAACAAGGUCUCCGUAGGUGAACCUGCGGAGGGAUCAUUAACACGUUGUUCUCCAACGUUUUCCAACCACAAACAAUACGUGAACCAAUCCUUCUCCCAUACAGAACAGAACACAACACUCUUGUGUCGUGUAGUUGUGUGUGGGCUAUUUUUCUUUUAAUUUUACCACUUGUCACCAUUAAUAUAACUAUUUCUAUGACAAUGAAAGUUUUGUUUUCGGACGAACUUUUGUGUUGAUAUCUUAACUAAAAGCACAACUCUUAGCAACGGAUAUCUUGGUUCUC
rnacentral:misc_RNA from 1 species